AACCGGAAUUUGGUUGUAGGCCUUGA
rnacentral:sRNA from 1 species